UGGCGGACGGGUGAGUAAUGUCUGGGAAACUGCCCGAUGGAGGGGGGUAACUACUGGAAACGGUAGCUAAUACCGCAUAACGUCGCAAGACCAAAGAGGGGGAUCUUCGGGCCUCUUGCCAUCGGAUGUGCCCAGAUGGGAUUAGCUAGUAGGUGGGGUAACGGCUCACCUAGGCGACGAUCCCUAGCUGGUCUGAGAGGAUGACCAGCCACACUGGAACUGAGACACGGUCCAG
rnacentral:rRNA from 1 species